GAUGAACGCUGGCGGCGUGCCUAAUACAUGCAAGUCGAGCGACCAGACGAGGAGCUUUCUCCUCUGACGUUAGCGGCGGACGGGUGAGUAACACGUGGAUAACCUACCUAUAAGACUUGGAUAACUUCGUGAAACCGGAUCUACUACCGGAUAAUAUAUUGAACCGCAUGGUUCAAUAGUUCAUGACGGUUUUGCUGUCACUUAUAGAUGGAUCCGCGCCGCAUUAGCUAGUUGGUAAGGUAACGGCUUACCAAGGCAACGAUGCGUAGCCGACCUGAGAGGAUGAUCGGCCAAACUGGAACUGAGACACGGUCCAGACUCCUACGGGAGGCAGCAGUAGGGAAUAUUCGGCAAUGGGCGAAAGCUUGACGGAGCAACGCCGCGUGAGUGAAGAAGGUCUUCGGGUCGUAAAGCUCUGUUAUUAGGGAAGAAAAAAUGUAGAAGUAAAUAUGCACGUCUUGACGGUACCUAAUCAGAAAGCAACGGCUAACUACGUG
rnacentral:rRNA from 1 species